AGAAGUAAGGCAGGGCAUACGGUGGAUGCCUUGGCUCUUGGAGGCGAUGAAGGACGCGACAAGCUGCGAAAAUCUCCCACGAGGCGCUAUAGCCUUUGACUGGGAGGAAUCCGAAUGGGGCAACCCACCUGAUUGAUGGUCAGGUAUCCUGCAAAGGAGGCAAACCCGGCGAACUGAAACAUCUCAUUAACCGGAGGAAAAGAAAACAAAAAGUGAUUCCCUAAGUAGUGGCGAGCGAACGGGGAAUAGCCCAAACCCGCAAUGUUUAGGCUUUGCGGGGGUAAUAGGGCUGGAAUACGUCGUAGAUCGAGACGAGUAGAAUGCGCUGGAAUGCACAACCAUAGGGGGUGAGAGUCCCGUAUACGAAGUAGGCAUUUACGAUAUCCAGACCCCUGAGUAGGGCGGAGCACGAGAAAUUCCGUCUGAAUUGGCCGGGCCCACCCGGUAAGGCUAAAUACUCCCAAGAGACCGAUAGCGAACCAGUACUGUGAAGGAAAGGUGAAAAGAACUCCGUGUAGGAGAGUGAAAUAGUACCUGAAACCGUAUGCCUACAAGCGGUCGGAGUCCUUCGGGAUGACGGCGUGCCUUUUGCAUAAUGAGCCUACGAGUUAUGGUAAGUGGCGAGAUUAACCGAUGAUAAUUGGGGAGUCGUAGCGAAAGCGAGUCUUAAACGGCAGCAGUCACUUGUCAUAGACGCGAAACUUUGUGAUCUACCCAUGGCCAGGUUGAAGGCGCGGUGAAACGUGCUGGAGGACCGAACUGGUUAGCGUUGAAAAGCUCUCGGAUGAGCUGUGGGUAGGGGUGAAAGGCUAAUCAAACUGAGAGAUAGCUCGUACUCCCCGAAAUGUUUUUAGGAACAGCCUUGUAUUUUAGUCGUACUGGAGGUAGAGCGACUGGUUGGACGCGAGGGCUUCACCGCCUAUCAAGUCCUGUCAAACUCCGAAUGCCAGUCCGAUUUUUGCAAGAGUGAGCCGUAGGGUGCUAAUGUCCUGCGACGAGAGGGAAAGAACCCAGACCAGCAGCUAAGGUCCCCAAGAAGGUGUUAAGUUGUUCAAACGAGGUUCGACUGCCUAGACAGCUAGGAUGUUGGCUUGGAAGCAGCCAUUCAUUCAAAGAGUGCGUAAUAGCUCACUAGUCGAGUGGUCGAGCGUGGAUAAUGAGCGGGCAUCAAACAUCUCACCGAAGCUCUGGAAGUUGUACAAGUGUACAAUAUUGGUAGGGGAGCAUUCAUACGACAGUGAAGGUGUCUUGUGAGAGAUGCUGGAGUUUUAUGAAAAGCAAAUGUAGGCAUGAGUAACGAUAAUGCGGGUGCAAAACCCGCACACCGAUAGGCCAAGGUUUCCUGAUCGCCGUUAAUCGGAUCAGGGUUAGUCGGUAUCUAAGGCGAUGACGAAAGUAUAAGCCGAUGACAAGCGAGUUAAUAUUCUAGCACUGGCCAUGGUAAUGAUGGGACGACGGAGCUGUGACAGUUCUACCUAGUGACGGAAUACUAGGUCAAAGGUUGUAGGUAUAGGUGGCGGUUAAUCCCGUUGCUUGCCGAAGCUGACAGCGACACAAUCCGCAAGGAGCGUGUUUAAAGGACGUAAGCGUACUCCCGAGAAAACUCCCUAAGUAUAUAUCAUGGGCAACCGUACCGUAAACCGACACAGGUGGCCAAGGAGAGUAUCCUGAGGUGCUCGAGUGAUUCACGGCUAAGGAACUAGGCAAAUUUAUCCUGUAACUUCGGAAUAAAGGAUCCCAAGAGCAAUCUUGGGCGCAGAGAAGUGGCUCAAGCGACUGUUUAGCAAAAACUCAUGGCUUUGCAAAAUCGAAAGAUGACGUAUAAGGCCUGACACCUGCCCGGUGCUGGAAGGUUAAGAGGAGUUGUUAGCCGCAAGGCGAAGCGACGAAUUGAAGCCCCAGUAAACGGCGGCCGUAACUAUAACGGUCCUAAGGUAGCGAAAUUCCUUGUCGGGUAAGUUCCGACCUGCACGAAUGGUGUAACGAUUUGAGCGCUGUCUCGGCCGUGAGCUCGGUGAAAUUGAAGUAGCGGUGAAGAUGCCGCUUACCCGCAACGGGACGGAGAGACCCCGUGAACCUUUACUAUAGCUUAACGCUGCUUUUGGACGAACGUUGCGUAGGAUAGGCCGGAGGCUUCGAUCUCGCACUUCUGGGUGUGAGUUAGCCGCCGUUGAAAUACGGCCCUACGUUCGUUUGGGAGCUAACCCUAAUAGGGGACACCGUUUGGUGGGUAGUUUGACUGGGGUGGUCGCCUCCAAAAGCGUAACGGAGGCUUCCCAAGGUACCCUCAGCGCGGAUGGUAAUCGCGCGUCGAGUGCAAUGGCAUAAGGGUGCUUGACUGAGAGACUGACACGUCGACCAGGUGCGAAAGCAGGGCAUAGUGAUCCGGUGGUUCCGAGUGGAAGGGCCAUCGCUCAAAGGAUAAAAGGUACUCCGGGGAUAACAGGCUGAUC
rnacentral:rRNA from 1 species